rnacentral:rRNA from 1 species
UACAGAGGGUGCGAGCGUUGUUCGGAAUUACUGGGCGUAAAGCGUGCGCAGGCGGUUCGUUGUGUCGGUGGUGAAAGCCCCGGGCUCAACCUGGGAAUGGCCAUGGAAACUGGCGAACUGGAGUGUGGCAGAGGGGGGUGGAAUUCCGCGUGUAGCAGUGAAAUGCGUAGAGAUGCGGAGGAACACCGAUGGCGAAGGCAGCCCCCUGGGCUAGCACUGACGCUCAGGCACGAAAGCGUGGGGAGCAAACAGG